AACGAACGCUGGCGGCGCGCCUAACACAUGCAAGUCGAACGAGAAUCCGGGGCAACCCGGUAGUAAAGUGGCAAACGGGUGAGGAAUACAUGGGUAACCUACCCUUGAGAAGGGAAUAACCCGCCGAAAGGUGAGCUAAUACCCUAUACGCUAUCUUUUUUUCGAAAAGGAUAGGAAAGCCGGGUCGAGGACCUGGUACUCAAGGAGGGGCUCAUGUCCUAUCAGCUUGUUGGUGGGGUAACGGCCUACCAAGGCUACGACGGGUAGCUGGUCUGAGAGGAUGAUCAGCCACACUGGCACUGAGAUACGGGCCAGACUCCUACGGGAGGCAGCAGUGAGGAAUAUUGCGCAAUGGGCGAAAGCCUGACGCAGCGACGCCGCGUGGGGGAUGAAGGUUUUCGGAUUGUAAACCCCUUCCAUGAGGAAAGAUAAAGUGGGUAACCACUUAGACGGUACCUCAAGAAGAAGCCACGGCUAACUUCGUG
rnacentral:rRNA from 1 species